CUGAUGCUUUAGGUGCGUUUCACGCAUGGAGUGCAACAACAACUUUUAUUUUGGUGGGUCCCACUACAGAGCUAAAAAUCAUCUCUCCCUAUAACACCUCAAAUUCAUUGCUCCCCUCAUUCUCUCACCUCCACAUAUACAUUCAAACCCACAAAAAUCACUUAAAAUCCACUAUUAUGAUCCAUGUGGAUGCUCUAAUUAGCCCAUUCAUGGCAUCAAAUUCAUCAAUAUGUAAUUCCUAAUAUACCCCGCAGCUUGUGAUACAUAAUAGAAUAGCGGGGCCCAAGCCCAACAAUCUUACCCGGCUGGGCGUGGGCGGCUUCAGUGCUUAGCGCUUACAGUAGUCAGUAGACACCGACAUUCAAAACCCGCCAUGGAAAGUGAAGUGUCCAACCGCAAGCUAUCGAUGCAUCGCCUUUUUUGCUCGUUUGGAAGAUGAUUUCAAGUUGGCUUCUGGUUCAAAUUGUGACAAGGCCCUAAACUGUAACCAAAAGUCAAUGACUCAAUAUGGAAACCAAGUUGAAAAUGAAACUCUCAUAUUAGGUUAUACUAGUUUCAUGUUUGGUAUCCCAAUAUGUCUUGACCCCCAAUAGUGGAUGGUAUACAGUGGGCCAUACUGGCUGGUGUAGGCGCUGUGCAUAGGUUGCAAUGGUGGAGAUGGUGGUCAUGAGUAGAGGCAACUGCCAUGGAUGAGGAUUUACGUUUCCAAAUUUCCAUAUUAAGUUUGAAAGUACUAUAUUCUGUUUUUGAAUAUAGAAAAGAGCUCAUUUUGAAUAGAAAGCUAUGUUUCCAAUUCAUAACAGGCCCUUAACUUUGCAAAGUUGAUGCUUUUAAGUUGUUGAUAUUGAUAUGGAAAAUUCAAAGAAAAGAAAACGUCAUGUGUCUACAUUACACAUUUGACUUUUAUGGACUCCAAUAAAGAUUUGCAAAAUCUGUGAUGA